GACUCGCUGUCUGCCACCGUCAGAGUCCACUCGGGAGAGCCCCCUUGGCGCCGCCUCUUCCCCGGGUGGAGGGUGCAGGUAGAGACCCCAGCUGGGGAGGGGACCCAUAGGUACGAGGUGGAGGUGGUUCGCUGAGGAACUCCGGGUCAGACCCGCUAAACUAGUGACCGAGAGAAAAGUGCCUGAGGAGAAAGGGAGAUGGCUGUUGGCUGUAUUCAGCCAGGAGCAGGAAGGAGGGCGAGGCUUGCAGAAAGCAUUCAAAGGUCAUGAUGCCCCACCCUGAAGUACCCGCGCCUGGGGUCUGCACUGCUCCCCGAAACUAUUUGCACUCAUUCCUAGGACCUGGUGGAUAAUGAGUGGCAAACUAGUUUUUUGUUUGUUUGUUUUUUUCCACGAAUACUAAUUAAAAGAAGCGCCUCUUAGUCGUAUAGCGCGAUUAAUGACUUAGUAUCUACAUAUUCCAAAUCUACCUUUUGAUUCUGUUCAUGUUCGGUUCUAGCUGGAAAAUAGGUUCCGGACUGGGGACGCUCAUUGUGGAAGCUGAUUGGUGCGGGCACUUGUCCAUCUGGAACUGCAGCAGCUGUUUUUAAUGAAACGAACUAAGAAAAUGCUCUGGACUCAAUACCAGGCUCAGUAUCUGCAGCUCUUGGACGUUGUCCCGACCCUUGCUGUUCACAAUACUCUCCAGUGUCUGACAUGGAAACAAAUUGUGGGACUCCUUCCUUUAGUUCCCAGAGAGCAGGGUCAGUCUUAUCCUGCGGCCCCCACCCUUCCCUGCAUUAGGGGAAGAAUGCGUCUCCCCCAGUGUUCUUCAAAUGGAGUCUUUAUAGGGGUUGAUUUAGCACAGCACUCAUCUAACUUCUUGCUCAGAAGGAUUCUCUGGGGAUCUAGUUAGGAACCAAUUCUGUUUUCAGUGGAUCCAGCGUUGAGCUGAUAUUCUGAGCAUCUACUGAACUCCUGUUUGAUGUAAACGCUUGUUUAAGGAUCACACUUUAAGUACAAGGUUUAUAGCACACUCUCUGACACUGGCUAACCCUUGUUGCAUCUUCACUGCCUAAUUUUCAAGCUAUAAGACGGGACUGGUAUUAAUUAUUCUCCAUGUUGCUUGGAGAAAAUGCCAGCAAAUGCAACUCAAGGGAGGAGGGGUUUAUUUUCCAUAGUGACAAGGAAAGAUCUCUGCAGGAGUGUGAAACUGCUGGUGAGGAGGCAGAGAGCAAUGAAUGCUGUCCAGCUCGCUGCUCACUCCUUUUCCUCCUGGAAUCACAGCCAUGGGAUGGAGCUACCCACAUGUAGGGUGGAUCUUCCUACCUGGGUUAAUUCAGUUUCACAGAUGUUCUCAGAGAUUUGUCUCCUAGGUGACUCUAGGAUCUUGUCAAGUUGACAAUAUUCACCACCACAGCAUGCAUACCCAGCUAGCUCAUUGCAGGUCCAGGAUCUAUCCUAGUGUCCAGCAUACCAAAGUUUAGAAAGUAUGAGCUAAUUAACUGCUGGGGUCCUCAUAGCAGAUGUGAGGCCCAGUAUGCUUGCAGGAGGAGUGUAGUAUCAAAAGGGGUGUAACAAUAAGGUAGCUGCCCCACAAACAAUGACCAUUCCCAUAGCACAUCAGACUUGUAGAUGAGUAGAUGUUGGUGAAAUGAAAAAAAAAAAAAUGGCCACAGGGCAGAGGAAAUCACACUUGUUCCAAAAGUUCAUUUUCUGCUUUAAAUCGUGAUAUAUUGGUUCUCAGACAUUGAAUUAAAAAAUCAUUUUGCUUUUCAUUACAGAUAAUGCCCAGCUGCCUGUUGGAUGGGUCAUCUAUUUUAAUAUUGGAGCAAGUAAAUGGAUUGUUAAAAAGAUGAACAUUUUUCCCUCCUCAUUAAAAAUCUUGAAAUUU
rnacentral:lncRNA from 1 species